GGCGGAUGUAGCCAAGUGGAUCAAGGCAGUGGAUUGUGAAUCCACCAUGCGCGG
rnacentral:tRNA from 2 species